UCAUCAGGUGUCCUGGAACGUCAGUCGGUUCACGGUUGGUGGUGUCUUGGGUUCGCUAGUGUUGCCCUAAUGUCUACGAGACACUGGCUAUUACAGAUUCGUGUAAAUUGUAAAUUGCAAUAUUGUGAUCUGGAGCAACAUCUUUCAUUUGAAGGACCAAAAUUUGGGAAAUUAUUUACUUAUGGGCUAAGAAAAGUAUACCUGUGAUGGAGAUUGCUACUGGUUAAAACGAUUAGAUCACAAGACCCAACGCCUAUUUAUUGACGUAUAUCCUAUCCCACCAAUCGCAGAAGCUACGUCACCUCUUUGCCCUUGAACGUGGUGAGGCGCUUAGUGUGUGAGAAAGUGAGACCACUUCAUUCCAGAGCCGUAUAUAGCUACGGCUCUGUGACUGUCUUCCUCAGUGCAGCCACGAACAUCAGAAGAUUCUUACAAUUGAGAAGAAGCGUCUGGACAUUAUUCCUCUUCUCCACUAAGGUCCUUCCCAGUUGCUCAUCGAACAUAAUGAGGUUCCUUCAAGUAAGCCUCGUGGCUCUGCUUUCCCUUGUCCUACUGGGAGAAGAUGUUGCUGGAGGUGCAAUCACAGCUCGCCUCAAACAUCAAUCUGGCGCUGGGGAGCCGUUACUAAGAGCAAGCUCGGACCCGCCACCCCUACCAGGACCUGAAUCUGAUCAAAUAUCAAUCGUUCCCGAAGCGGCCUUCAAUGAAGGGUCCCACGGCUGCAUAGGCGUUUGUCAGCUUAGGGACAACUUCGACUCCUGCCUGCCAGAUUCAAAGUGUUGUGAGGAGAAGUUCAAAGAUAGCGAUUACUUGGACUGCGUGAGAGGCAACAAAUAAUGCAAAGCAAUCCAUUUGCUGAUGUCUCUGGUUCUGUUCAAGAGAGAUCAGCUGGUAGUGUUGUAACUUACUUUCUUACUUAAUCUGUCACUUUUUGUUAGGGUUGGCCAAUAUGACCAACUGCCAUUGCACUAUAGGCUACUAAGGUACCAUGUUGCCUUCUCGUGACUUCCUUUUUGACACAUGACAAGACUAAGGCGUCUUUCAACUUCCCUCUCUCAUCCAGAAUUGGUAAUGUUUAAGUGUGUAGUCUAUACUCCUUUUUUUUUUUUAUCUGUCCAUCCGUCUGUGGUUGCGCAUGGUAACACUGCGUCCCGGGCUUUAAAUAGUUACGCUGUCUAAGUUUUAGGUAAAUAAAGGAUAUCUGGGUGUACAUUUGCAACUGAAAAGUGUUUUAAUAAUUUACUGUAUGCGAAUUACACCGAUAAUAUUCGAAAUACAAUAUUAUUUAAAGCCCGAUACGCAGUGUUACCAUGCGCAAAAACCACAGGCGGAUGGAUAAAUGGAAAAAAACAGAGUAUACAUACUAAAGGCAAAAUCCUACAAAAUCGUACACAAAGGUUAAGGCUGGGAAGGUGAUUAAGUCUCUUAUAAAGAAAACCUCAAUUUCAAAUAUAGUCAUAAUAACUGGCAACCCAUCAUAACCUUUAAUUUCAGUUAACAUUGUAACACGCCCUACAUACCUUUGAGCUUUCUCAUGAUAGUACUUGUGAAAUUCUUCCAAUAAAUUGUAUACUUCAAACCAUGGUUUGCUUGGUCAAUGAAAUCGAGUUUGGAUUCACUUUUGUCUUCUUAUAAAAUGUAUUUUCAACUCUUACAGUUUAACUAUAGGCUUAGUUCUAUGAUACAAAAAGUCACACUGUUUUCAUGAUAAAGAAUUUUUUAUUUUAUUUUCUUAAUGCAUAAAAGCUAUUUUCGGUUGUAUUUUCACAUGCGUAACAUUUUAACAUUACAUCGUUAAAAUGUCACGGUUGUUAGGUGAAACAAUUUCACAAAACAUAAAAUGUUUUUUUCUGAGCGUUGGAGUUUCCUCGUAAAUUGUGUUCUACAUAAGCGUAACAUUACUUCCUUCAUAUAUUGUAGUCUGUUUGAUUUAGAAUGCAAUAAAGGUGAGAAUGCUAA